AGAGCGGGCCAGGCAAUCGCGGAGCGCAAGCUUCGAGGAAGGUCCGGACUCCACAGGGCAGGGUGACGGCUAACGGCCGUCCGGAUAUAAACGCCGGUUCGCCGGCGGGAAACCGAGGAACAGGGCCACAGAGACGAGUCUGCCAGGCGGGCGGCACGCAAGUGCCGCACCCGUACGGCCAUCUCCGUACGGCGCCGCGCGAAGCGCGGCGGCAUGGCAGGGUGAAACGCGGUAACCUCCACCCGGAGCAACAUCAAAUAGGCAUGCGCACGGCUUCGUGCCGGAAAGGGCGGCCCGCCCGAGCAUGCGGGUAGAUGGCCAGAGCCCGUCAGCAAUGGCGGGCCCAGAUGAAUGAUUGCCGGUGCGCGCUUCGGCGCGCAUCUACAGAAUCCGGCCUAUCGGCGCGCUCUGCAC
rnacentral:RNase_P_RNA from 1 species